rfam:Ornithorhynchus anatinus chromosome 3, whole genome shotgun sequence.
AUCCUCUCAGGAUCGUGCCUGGAGAGUCUCCAGUACUCUACCAGCCUUGGCUACGGAAGGGAGAGUCAAGCAGAGGCCUAACCAUUCCAUUCCUAGCUUGGGCAGUGGCUAGUGAGUGGAAGGCCAUCUGCUACAAGU